UACGAAGGGGAGCUAGCGUUGCUCGGAAUCACUGGGCGUAAAGCGCACGUAGGCGGAUUGUUAAGUCAGGGUGAAAUCCUGGAAGCUCAACUCCAGAACUGCCUUUGAUACUGGCGAUCUCGAGUCCGGGAGAGGUGAGUGGAACUGCGAGUGUAGAGGUGAAAUUCGUAGAUAUUCGCAAGAACACCAGUGGCGAAGGCGGCUCACUGGCCCGGUACUGACGCUGAGGUG
rnacentral:rRNA from 1 species